rnacentral:rRNA from 1 species
GUCUCAGGCCGUAUCAGCCUGAAGGCGCCCGAUCUCGUCUGAUCUCGGAAGCUAAGCAGGGUCGGGCCUGGUUAGGAUCUUGGAUGGGAGACCACCUGGGAAUCCCGGGUGCUUGAGGCU